AAACUAUCACAAACGUUUACCAGCCCACUCCUGAAGUAUAUUAUCUGUAUUUACCGUGUGAUGUUGAUGAUGACAAUGAUAUUAAAUAAGCAUUCUCUAUUUUUAGUUUCUAUGAUGUCUUUCCCUCUCACCCAGGCAUUGUGCUACUUUAUCCAAGGAGAUUUAUCGUGGCGUGUUUUCAGAAGUCAAUUUUUCCCUUUUAUUAUAGACAAGGGCAGUCAUUUAGGGAGGGAGACAGGUACAAUGCCUUUGUCAGAUCUGUAUCCCCAGCCACAGCUCCCUUCUUAAUCGAUGGCAAAUUCCCACUCUGGAGGAUCAGGCCCUAUCUGGGCCACUUCUCAACUCAGGAAUGUAUCCUUCCCUUCACCUCCACAUAUCUUACCUGUGAUGUAUGCUACUUUUUGAGGAGGGAAUAGUACGCUAUUUACCACAAAGUACAGCUUCAAAGCCUUUGUGUGUUUCUCAUCUCCAGCCAAAAGCUUAUUAUUUACCUCCUUAUAAAUUUACCCGGGCAAGGGAUAGUAGCAGUUAUUGUCUUCAUUUUUACAUCCUGAUUUUCACACAGCAAAUGCCCUGCACUAGGGCCAGAUUCUCACUCAGAUGGAAGUUAUUAACUUUAAGCAGAACGGAGCCGAUUUCAGCCAGCCACAGCCCGUGCCCUUCCAACACAGUUGCUUUACAGCGUCCCCUUGUUUAUUUUUUUCCUUGGAGGGCAUGAUUCUUUAAACAUGUUUGUUUUACACAGAGCAGCAGUUGAUUCCUAACUUUUUUUUUCCCCCACAAACAUGUAACGAGAAUAUUAAUAAGGAAUAUUAAUAGAGCUGAGUGCAGCAUGAUGCUAGUUAGAUUGUAGUAGCUGAGAAAUAUGAACUAGUGAACAUAAUCCAUAAACUCCAUUUGGUUACUAUAAUACUCCAAUCUGUAUUUAUUACAACCCCACUCUGAUGCUUAUACAACUGCAAUUGCUAGAUUUAUACACUCUAAUGGUUUCACAAUAGGAAAAACCUGUGUUCUUUAUCUUUCUUUUCCUGUCCAAAAUAACCCCUUCCACAUAUACUUCAGGCUUCUCCAGACCUUGUCUGGGUUUAAUCACAGGCUCUGGGACAAAACGCGCAUUAUUAAGAAAUAUAAAUAUUUUCAGAAGCAAUCAAAGGGUUGAAAGAUUGAUUCGGCAUGUAGAUUGGAUUUAAUUCGAAGCAGCUUUGUUCUAAUGAGGACUACUGGGAUACAAAGACGGCAGCCGCUUAUGGCCACCAGUUGGGAACUUCGACUCGCUGCAGCAACCUGUCAAGAAUUUCAAGGAACUGCCAGGUAUUAAGCAGCAAAGUGGUAGGGAAGCUGGUGGUCUAUUGUUUUCAGCCUUCUUUCGAGGCUGGAUUAAGGUUUCAUAGUCCCUGUUUUACCAAAAUGACAAUUAAGGUUAAUUUCUUGCUGCCCGCAGGACCAAAUCCUGCUCAGGGGGAAAGCCCUCUGGACUUUAUGGGGGGCUUUGCCUAAGGGAGAGGUGGCAAAGCUUGGCUGAGCCCCAGGUCCAGCAAAUUUGAGAGCCCCAUAGUGAUUUGUUCUGCUUCCAGACCUGGUGCGGCUGCUUUUUGUGACUAUUCCUGUUAAAUUUUGCUACCUGCGCUCCUAGAUGCGGCAGGAUCUUUUUGCAUAGGUGGUGUAUUUUCUUUAUGGAGAAAUACAGCUCUGUGUUGGCUGGGAAGCUCUUGUAUCCUUCUUGGGCGACCUGGACCUGUCCUGUUUCCCGGGGAAAAGCAUGAGACGUGCAACAAAACAUCCUUGAGGUGAUGCUGAACAAAACGGGACACUCGAUAGCUUUACCCUUAGGCUUAAAGAACCCCCCAAACAGUGAGAUUUCAGUGUGCACUGUGGGGGGGUGUCACGUCACAGGUAUUUGGGGAGCACAAAACCCUGGCAUCUUUCCUAAGUGUUGAGCGUACAGUCGGAAUCACAGUAUAUACAGGAUCAAACACUGACUAGUUUCUCUCUCCCCUUAGCCCCCCUCCCAUGCCUACUUUUGUCCAUAAAAGCAAGAGAAAGAGAGAAAGCUUGAAUUUUCUGAACUGUUUCACCCAUCCACAGCUGGAAUUCCAAAGCGAAAUGAAAAUGCCUUUAAAAUCAACCCUACAUGGGAGCCUGAGAGAACAAGUUUUCCUUUGUUGUAGGGUAUAGUAUUAUUUGCUGUAGGUUUUUGAUAUACAUUCUAAAUUAGGCCUGCAAAGGAAUGCUUCAUCUUUAAUUCAUCACUCUCAGCUGAAAGAGAUUAGCAAUGUCUAGCACGCACCCUUCGUAUGGUGCUGACCUCAUCAAGUAUGGCCUGAAAUUAAUUAGCCUCAUUCAUUCCAAAUGGAAAAGGAUAAUGGAGCUGCAUUUUAGAGAUGACCAUCACAAAUUGUAUGCAGCAUAUUUAAAAUCCCUCCCCCCACUUCUCGCUCCCCUCCCCAUUAAAAAAACUAUGUAGAUUAAAAUUCUUUCCAGAACUUGCAAUAUGCCAGAGUUAUCGAGGCAUUAGGAGCAGAAACCACUCCGUUUUUAUUUGUGGAACUGGGAGCCACAUUUUGUAUGUGUAGCUGUAAAAGCAGCAAGCCUGUCUUAAAUGACACAACACCUGGAAUUAAUCUGAUAUUUCCAGGUGCUCUGGCAAACUGGGGCAUCAAGCGCUUGGUGUUUAAACAUUCUUCCACUGGCUUGCUUAAAUCAAUAUGAAAGUGGUGUCCCUUUGUCAUUCAUAGAUGCAAAGUGCUAGCACAAACUCCAGCUUGGCUUCAGAGUCCUACAUCACUCAUAAUCUAAUUAGAAAUCAGAGCAGAGCCGAAGCAGCAUUCUUUGUGGAUUCUUGAGCAGCAAAUAGGGAUACUUGUCUUUUGUUUCCCUCCUCGAUUGCAUCGUUCACAAGCUUUCACACCACAUCUCUAAAGGUGGUUAGGUGCCUCAAGAUGUUGACAGGCAUGAAGGACAAGAUUAUUUAGGUAUUUAGGUGCCUACCCGGGGUGAUUUCAAAUGGAAUUAAGCAACUGGAUGUUACUGGGGGAAAAGGAGGCGGGGGGGGGGGGGGGGGGGGGGUGACAAAAAAGGAAAGCUUCCAAUGCAUAUGAAAAGCUCUAAUUUGUUGUCCUAAACUCUAGCAACGUGGGUGAUGUUUUUCCAGGGUAAAAUUGCCUGCAGGGUAAAUUUACUGAAGCCUGGCAGUUUGUUCUGAGGUGAGUGGGUCCAGCCUAGGGGCUUCACCAGCUCCUCCCUGGCCAGGCACAGUGGUGGUGUCUGCUCCAGUUGCUUCCCAAGAGACAGAGAAAGUGGUAAAGAAUGCAGGAUUUCCCACAGGAACUUGGACGAUGCCCGUGCCUAAGACAAUGGUGAGGAUUGGCCCCAAAUCCAGAUCCAGCCUGGAUUCCUCCACCUGAGUAGUCCUGUCUCAACCUACGACUGCUGAUGGAUUGCGGCGAUGUGGACCUUCCUGUCUCCUUACUCCCCAGCAUCAGAUCACCAAGAGGGCCUGAGAUAACGCUGGAUGAAGCACCACAAGACCAUGCGCACAGAGAGAUGUUGGUUCCCUGACUGCCACUGAUUCAGCUCUGUCAUGGCACAAGCUACAAGAGGCCGGAGACAUAUCGUGUGGACAGUUCCUGUCCUGGCUCCUCCUCAUCAGUGCUUUGAGUUGUGUGAAGCCCUGAGAACCAAGGCGACAUGAGUGCAUGACCAGGUUCCUGAUGCUAAAGGUCUGACCUCAAAAUGAGCAGUGCAAGAAUGGGCACCACAGCGAGCUUCUGGCCUUCAACCCUUCCAAAUACAGCUAUUUUGGAGAGGCACGGCCUGGUUUGCUGCAAUGCAACUGUCCUCAUUAAUGUUCUUCAAGCCCUGAUGUACUGGGAUCGCCAUUGUUGGUGCCAUCUUAAUCUCUGGUUUUGGUAUGACAGACUAUGUGGUCUCAGCGAUACUGCACCAUCCUGUUCUUUGCUUUCAAGCUCAGGUCACGGGUUGGAUUUGGAAGCAGCAAUUUUCAUGCAGAGAUGUGACUGGAAGCUGAAUGUUAUUCCAGGGUAAGUGUAUUUUUGUUUAAUUUGGGUUUUAUACAGUGUAUAAAGUCCAUACAAAGUCUGUUGUUAAUCCCAGCCUAGUUGUGAAACUGCUGUUGACCACUACUUGUUCAAUGCAAUAAAGCAUAUCUGUGUACCACAGCAAUACCUGCUCUAUUGAUAUAUUAAAAUUAUUUUACCAGGUCAGCCUUUUGGGAUUUAACAUUUCAUUCAUAAAGGAUUCUAUAACACACCAGUUGUGCUCCCUCUCUGCAUUCUAAUGAAUGGGGUGAUUUGCUUAAGCUUGUAUGUAUUUUAAUUUAUUCUAAUGCUUCUUUACUUUCUUAUUUGAACAACUGAAACUUUUAGAAAAAUAAUAAGAGCUAAAAGACAACUCUCAGAGACUGACUGGAUACUCAUUAUAAUUUUCUCUUUACUACUUGCAAGUCUUGGAUUACCUUAUGCAACCUUUCCAUGUUAACUACUCAGUUUUGCUCAGACACAGAAGGUAGUGAUAAUGGAUAACGUAUGUUAUAGGCUUUGUUACAGAUGAAACCAAGAAAGUGUCCUGAAGUCUAGUAACUACUCAAUACUGGUAACUUACAGGACCCUCUGUACUACUACUGCUGCUUUGAACCAAUUUACUUGGUUAUUUGGACUUUAACUACUCAGAUGCAUUCCUUCCCGCUGCAACAGCAAUGAUACAUAGGAAGGUGCGUUUUAAACCUUGCAGUCAUUUUCAUCCUGGAUUUCAUGAGGGGUUAUUUUUGUCUCAGAGAUGAAUCAUUCAAAUAUCCUUUUACAGAUUCCAGGUGAGUUACUCACAUUAAGAUGCUUCCAAGUAACACACAGAAAGGUGCUGAGAAAAGGACAAGUUUUUGCCUAAUAAUAAAAAUAAAAGCUCAGCAAAAGUAGGUCCAAGUAAAUUAUAUAGUAGUGCUCAAGGUCUUUCUAAAGAGACCUGGGGCCGAAGGGCUUCUGCCCUCAAAAACUUGUGGCCAACAGAGAUGAACAAUACUUGCCUUUCUGACUGACCCAUCAGAUACUCUCUGUCCCCAGAAAUGGUUCAGGAAAAGACUGAAAGUAUCUGAAGACAUAAAAAGGAUAAUUAAGUUUCAUUGUGGGAAUAAGAGGGUAAUCUGUCCAGACAAAUCUAGGACCUAGUAUUGAAAACUGUAGUAUCUGAAUAUAAAAAAAAAAAAAAGAGUAAUUUUGAAUAAAGAUGUCUAUCAGGACUGUAAAUUCAGAGAGUAAAAAAGUAGCUUUGCCUAAAAGACCAUCUCUGCCUUCAUCUUCCUCUAACUCAUUUUCUUGUUCUCUUUCUUCCUUUUGUGUGAUUGAAAAAAAACCGCAUGUAAAAUCUGAUAUUGAGAAUGCUUUAGCUUCAUUUCAAUCUUCUCUUCUCCAAAUGUUUUGUUCCGCUGUGAAGAUUCCCUCUGCGAGAUAACCUUAUCCAUGACCGCACUAAGCUUGCAGGACCACUUAUUUGCAGAGAGAACUGCUGUAUUCUGAAGCAGCCACCUCCCCGCUCUUCUGAGGCUUUUGAGUUGGCAUGAGAUAUUACCCAGGGCUCAGAGCAGAUCACAAGGUGCUUAGGACAGUACUUUCACUGCACCUUUUUUUUGCUGAGCAGAAUUGCUGCACUAUAAACAAAUGCGAGUUUUGCCUCAUUCUUAGAUGCUGUGAGUUAUGAAAGCCCACUCUAGAUGUAAUGAAUGUAUAGAUCAUUUUGACCAGAUCAUAAUCUAUUAGUAAAUAACGUUCCCUGGAAAUGUAUAGGUGAAAUAAAGAACUUCUUGCUACUA
rnacentral:lncRNA from 1 species